UACGUAGGGUGCAAGCGUUGUCCGGAUUUAUUGGGCGUAAAGAGCUCGUAUGCGGUUUGUCGCGUCGGAUGUGAAAACCCAGGGCUCAACCCUGGGCCUGCAUUCGAUACGGGCAGACUAGAGUAUGGCAGGGGAGACUGGAAUUCCUGGUGUAGCGGUGAAAUGCGUAGAUAUCAGGAGGAACACCGGUGGUGUAGACGGCUCUCUGGACCAUUACUGACGCUGAGACACGAAAGCGUGGGUAGCAAACAGG
rnacentral:rRNA from 1 species